rnacentral:sRNA from 1 species
GCUGGGCUUGGUGGUGCAUGCCUGUAAUCCCAGCGGCUCGGGAGGCUGAGGCAGGAAAAUCGCGAGUUCAGUGCCAGCCUUAGCAAAAGUGAGAUGCUAAAAAACUUAACAAUUCCCUGUCUCUA